GAUGAAGAACGUAGCGAAAUGCGAUAAGUAGUGUGAAUUGCAGAAUUCAGUGAAUCAUCGAAUCUUUGAACGCACAUUGCGCCUUCUAGUAUUCUGGGAGGCAUGCCUGUUUGAGCGUCAUUAAACCUCUCUCAAGUAUGAUUACUUGGAUGUGAAGGAAGAGUACCUUAAACUUAAGGAGUGUUCUCCUUUGAAAUUGAUUAGCAGAUGGUAAUGUUAUUAAAUCCCUGAUGUUGUAAGAAAUAACAGUGGUUUUGUAGACUAUUAUCUAGCUUUAGAUUAUAAUUUUUAUUAUGGUUGACCUCAAAUCAGGUAAGGAUACCCGCUGAACUUAAGCAUAUCAAUAAGCGGAGGA
rnacentral:misc_RNA from 1 species